CCUUGGGGGAAAAUAGAGAUUAUUAGGAUGGCUUCUCUGUAACGGACUCCCUGCUUUGGGACUGAAAGCACCGCGAGUAAAUGCGUUUUGCGGGAGAGGUAGGGUUCUGGGGCAGGCUGACCGGCAAGGGCUGAAGCAGAAUUGAGAGACGUCGCUGCAUCCAGAGAGGCACUUCCCUCCAGAGCGGACACCUCUCCCCUAUUCAGGAGAUGGCGGCUCAUUCCAAGGCAUUCAUUAUCCCCCUCUCGCGUAUGCUCCCAGGCAGCUGGGCAGUUUGUUAAAGAUGAAAUACACAGGAUGGGCACUUGCCCUUUUCUGGGGGCUAGACAGGCCUGAAAGGUCAUAUCUAUUGAAGGUGCAGCUGUGACAGGAGGAAGAUGCCCCAGGAGUAGCUUUCUGCUCACCUGGGGUCCUCUUUCCAAAUGCCCAGACGUUUGAGGAUUUCAGUGGUGGCCACUUCUCUGUUGAGGGUGUAGAAAUGCAGGCCGGACACCAUGCCGCUGUCCAGCAGCUCCCGGCACAUGGACGCCGCCAACUCCACCCCGUAGUUCCGGAUGGCUGCGUCGUUGUCCUUGAUGGGCUCGAUCACUUCUUUGAUCUCCUGCGGCACCUCGAGUUUGGAGAGCUUCACGAGCUGGCGCAGAGAAUGGGACACGAGUCAGACAACACUCAGCACCCUCAUCUCCCAGUGACUUAGAGCUUUAGUGGAGAGUGCUUGGGAGCUGGCAGCAUUUAGCUCAAAAAUCCAGCCAUGAACCCCUCCUGGCUGCUCACUUCGCCCUCCUGGCAAGGGCUGGGGAUCUCACCUGUAUGGGAAAGAUGCCAGGUACGAUGGGGCAGGUGAUGCCAAUGGCCUGACAGUCCUUCAUGAACGCGAGGAAGGUCUCGGACCUGAAGAAGAGCUGCGUGAUGAUGAAGUCAGCCCCAGCAGAGACUUUCUCCUUCAGGUGCCUCAGGUCAGCUUCGUAGCUCUCGGCUUCAGGGUGGCCCUUGGGGUAACCUUCAGAGAGAAGAGGAGGAGCUGAGCCAGGAGGCAGCCUGCUCACUCUUCCAGAGCCUCAGUCACGCUGGGGCAUCAAAUGUCUGAACCGUCCAGCACCCACAAGCCGUCGCUCAGAGUCCUGCCAGCACAGUCUGCCGAUCCCCACGGUCAGAGGCAAACCCCACCACAGCUGGCCCAUAAAAAGAUGCGUUUACCUGCCACGCAGAUGUCAAAAUAGUCAUCGAACUCGCAGCGAAUGUGCUUCACCAAGUCGACGGCGUAGUUGAAGCCUUCCACCUCUUCCUCCCACUCCUCGCCAAUGGGGUCUGAGUGAGGAGACAUGGAGAUGGGUCUGAUCCAAGGCCUGCGUAUAGCAAAGCUCAACCAGCGCUAGAUGGGCCGCCCAUUAGAGAGGAAGAGGAAAUGGAGUCUCCAAGUUCACUGGCUUCCUUACUUGGUUCCACCCAUGGGCCCUUCACCUCCCCGCCCCUGCCCCCGAGAUGGAGACACCACGCCUUCUGGGUCAAGGUUAACUCCUCUCAGCCCUAAUUCAGAGGCCUGAGGCAACAGGGAGAACAGAUUCAGACAGAUGCUUAACCACAUCGCCCCAGAACUGGGAGGGAUGUUAGAUCGCCAGGUUGGUUCAUUCCGGCUCCUCCCACAGAGGAGUCGCUCACUGGAGGUGAGGGUAACUCUGGCAUUAUCCCCAGGGCAGAGAGGAAUGCUCACCUCCUCGCAGCGCCAUGAUGUUCUUCAGCCCCAGACGCUUGGCCUUCUGCAGGUGCCCUGUGAUCUCCUCCUUGGUCUGGUUGCAACAUGUCAUGUGCAAGACGGUCUCCAGGCCACAGUAGUUGACGGCCGUGUUGGCGAUGAUCAUGGAGGAGGUCUCCUUGUCGGAGCCUGGGUCCCCUGCCGGGUGCCAAGUCACAUCAAUGAAGAGGGGGCCGCCCAUCCCCAUGCGGUCGAACCUGCAGAUUAGAACAGAAGCAGUUUAUUGCUAGCCUAUGGGGGUGCUGCCACCCGCACGCCUGGGAUAUCGCACUCAGCGCCGGGCACCUCACUACCAGACAGCAUGUGGCAGAUGGGAGGGAAUUUGGAUCAGAGCAGCAAGAACAAUUACCGGGCUGGAGCAGCCACCUCAGGAGAAGAGACCAAGAGCUAACUCGCUCCAGGUUGGUGAAGGAACCACUAAGGGCCACUGGCAGAUCAACACCACAGAGGCGAGACCAUGUUCAGGGAUAUCCAAACAGGUGGAACUAGCAGUUUGGGCAAGAUAUUUUUUUUUU